ensembl:lncRNA
CCACGUUAGUAAGUUAAAAAAUAUAUAUCGAUUUGAAUGUUUUCAACCAUGUUCCUGCCACAAUAAAUAAUUCCCCCACCUUACAUCGCAACUUUUUCAGCCCAGCUUUCCCCACACACACACCGACACACUCGCACACUCUCAGGAGCUCGUCGUUGUUUUGCACAGCACAAACGAAAUGUGUCACCUACUUGGGGUUCUGUGAGCUCCAUAUAAUAGUCUCCAGGGACUUGGCCAGAGGUGUCGCCGUCCGGCCCAUGACGAUAGCGAUCCAAAGGUAAUACUUCCAGCACGCCAGCCCCGCCAUUCUCUUCGCGGACUGGGGCAGUAACUCACGGGCGUGGGACGGUGCGCGUGGCAGCCUUUAUCAAUGGUACGGGCCCGGUGGAAUGUAAGCGUUGAUUAGUCGGGGGCAUGUGAGGUCGAUAUCAGAUACAUGUCCUUCUGUCCAACUUCUUCAAAUCAGGCUCGAGGACCUCCCCUACUCCAGCCGCGUCCUUGACUGAACUGUCCGCAGAAGAAACGAGCGAACCUCGACCCGACCGAUUCGAUCCGAUCUGGGCCAAGGAAAGCCCCCUGCUUGUGUGUGUCCUGGUUGACCUGUGGCUUGCUUUACUUAAAACUGUUCGAAGGCAAAUAGAUGACGUUAAAACGAGUCGCGUACGGAUCGCGUCUGAUCCCAGGUGCUGGGAUGAAGCGCGACGUUUGACAGCGCGGUGGAGGCGCGAGAGCUAUCCCCCGUGCCUUUGUCGAGUCUCCCCCGGAGCCUCUACCUGUCGCAGCCCACCGCCUACCGAUGACAACAGCCUUCCAUCAGUCACAACUCCACGGCGCGCUGGCAAAUUCUGCACCGACUACCUCAUUCCAAUCGCAUCGUUGGAGUUUCCCGUGUUCCUCUCCUUGAAUCUCUCCUUUUCUGUCUCUCUCUAUCUGUGGUGAAUAUUCCUCUCCGGGUCCCUUCGUACGACAGCGUGCGAGUGCUUUUUCCAAACGGCUCUCUCUCGUGAAGAGUGGCUGAUUAUUCCAAGUCGUGCACACUGUGUCUGUGUGGUCUUUGGGUAGACCAGGCUAUGGCUUUUUUCAAGACAUUCGGCGCAAAAAAAAGAAAUGUCGCGGGGUUUAAGUCCAGUUAGUUCGCCUCCACGGACGCUUUAAACGCAGUCCUCGCUCGCCGGCCAGCUAAUAGUUCCAACCGGUGUUUCACCGUAUCCACUCAGCGUCCUCCGCUCUGCGCCUCAGCUCGAGCUAAACUGCUACUGUAACACGAUGCCAGUGGAGGCGCAUAGGGGGACGGCCCACCGCAUCAGUGGCAGCCAAUCAGAGCUCGCUGUCCGAACUUGGAAGCGAGGGCAUGUAUGGGGUCC